GACGAACGCUGGCGGCGUGCUUAACACAUGCAAGUCGAACGGGAAGGCCCUGCUUUUGUGGGGUGCUCGAGUGGCGAACGGGUGAGUAACACGUGAGUAACCUGCCCUUGACCUUGGGAUAACUUCAGGAAACUGGGGCUAAUACCGGAUAGGAGCUCCUGCUGCAUGGUGGGGGUUGGAAAGUUUCGGCGGUUGGGGAUGGACUCGCGGCUUAUCAGCUUGUUGGUGGGGUAGUGGCUUACCAAGGCUUUGACGGGUAGCCGGCCUGAGAGGGUGACCGGCCACAUUGGGACUGAGAUACGGCCCAGACUCCUACGGGAGGCAGCAGUGGGGAAUAUUGCACAGUGGGCGGAAGCCUGAUGCAGCAACGCCGCGUGCGGGAUGACGGCCUUCGGGUUGUAAACCGCUUUCGCCUGUGACGAAGCGUGAGUGACGGUAAUGGGUAAAGAAGCACCGGCUAACUACGUG
rnacentral:rRNA from 1 species